rnacentral:rRNA from 1 species
ACACGGAGGGCGCAAGCGUUGCCCGGAAUCACUGGGCGUAAAGCGGGUGUAGGCGGUCUAGCAAGUCAGAUGUGAAAGCCCACGGCUCAACCGUGGAAGUGCAUCUGAAACUGCUAGACUUGAGUGCCGGAGAGGGAAGUGGAAUUCCUGGUGUAGGGGUGAAAUCCGUAGAUAUCAGGAGGAACACCGGUGGCGAAGGCGACUUCCUGGACGGCCACUGACGCUGAGACCCGAAAGCGUGGGGAGCAAACAGGAUUAGAAACCCUAGUAGUCC